rnacentral:piRNA from 1 species
UCAGAGAUACAGCCACAAGAUGUAGC